UACGGAGGAUCCAAGCGUUAUCCGGAUUUAUUGGGUUUAAAGGGUGCGUAGGCGGAUUGAUAAGUUAGAGGUGAAAUGUCCGAGCUCAACUCGGGAACUGCCUCUAAUACUGUUGAUCUAGAGAGUAGAUGCGGUAGGCGGAAUGUAUGGUGUAGCGGUGAAAUGCUUAGAGAUCAUGCAGAACACCGAUUGCGAAGGCAGCUUACCAAUCUAUAUCUGACGUUGAGGCUCGAAAGCGUGGGGAGCAAACAGG
rnacentral:rRNA from 1 species